AUUCCACCCNGUAGCGUUGGNUCCCNUGGCCCCNUCAUUCGAUGAAGNCCGUUNCAAAAUGCGAUAAGUGGUGUGAUAUGCAAGUCCAAAACUUAUACGUGAACCCAUCGAAUCGUUGAACGCACUGCAUCGANCCUUACCCAGGANCGAUNCGCCCCAUUGAGCGUCAUUAUGUCUUCGUGACUGUCAUUUANUUUGCCCUGUCCGGGUUCGGGAUUCACAGCUUUGAUUAGCUGCGCUUCCUUAGAUACAUGGAUGCACUACAGCUGAAGGUGUCCUUGUCAUAAAUGUCGAGGUUUUCCAAAAGCUUAGAUGCAAGAUUGCUCUUGUGCAGAGUAAUCAAAUGCGACCACUUCAUUGCGGAAGCAGCUUCUAAACAUGACCUCACGGGGGUGGGAUGACCCGCUAGACUUAAGCAUAUUAAUCAGCGGAGGAAAAGAAACUAACAAGGAUUCCCCUAGUAACUGCGAGUGAAGAGGGAUUAGCUCAAUGUGUGAAUCAGGUUUGGAUUAGCUCCUUGUCUGAGUUGUGCACUAUAGACGGCGGAUCAGCGCUUGGGAGGUCGAGGUGGAUAUCCGAUGAAACUCGGUGCCAUUGAGGGUCAUAGUCCUGUACUUGCCUUGUUACCUCUUGCGCAUUUGACCGACGUUCUGCGAGUCGCGUAGUUUUGUAUUGCUGCGCUAAUUGGGAGGUAGAGCCCUUCUAAAGCUAAAUAUGAUGACGUGACCGAUAGCACACAAGUACCGCGAGGGAAAGGUGAAAAGCAACCAUGCAGAAUGGGUUGAAACAGAAGUGAAAGCGCUACUGGGAUAAGGGCUGGGAAUUGCUUGUGUCAUUUGCGCGUGCUUUAGUGCUGUGCUUGUGAUCGGCGUGCUUCAGGGAAGAUGGGGAGAANCAGGGCCUUGGGAAUUUUUNCCNNGAUCCGANNGGNAAAUUGUCGCCCCUGGUGCCAAUGGAGCCU
rnacentral:rRNA from 1 species